rnacentral:rRNA from 1 species
AGAGUUUGAUCAUGGCUCAGACUGAACGCUGGCGGCAUGGCUAAAACAUGCAAGUCGAACGGACCCGCAAGGGUUAGUGGCGGAAGGGUGAGUAAUACUAUCGAAUGUACCCCGAGGUGGAGGAUAGGCAUGGGAAACUGUGCGUAAUACUUCAUGAUCUCGAGAGAGCAAAGGCGCAAGCCGCCUUGGGAGCAGCGAUAUUCCUAUCAGGUAGUUGGCGGGGUAAUGGCCCACCAAGCCGAAGACGGGUAGCCGGUAUGAGAGUACGGCCGGCCACAUCGGGACUGAGACACUGCCCGGACUCCUACGGGAGGCUGCAGUAACGAAUAUUCCGCAAUGGGCGAAAGCCUGACGGAGCAAUGCCGCGUGUGGGAUGAAGCGGUUUCGCCGUGUAAACCACUGUCAGGGAAUAGAAAAGAUGAUCAUUCUCAGAGGAAGGGGCGACUAACUCUGUGCCAGCAGUCGCGGUAAGACAGAGGCCCCGAGCGUUAGUCGGAAUUACUGGGCUUAAAGGGUGCGUAGGCGGGCGUGUAAGUGCUUUGUGAAAGCCCUGGGCUCAACCCAGGAACCGCAGGGCAUACUGCACGUCUCGAAGGAGCUAGAGGCCGGUGGAACGAUCGGUGGAGCGGUGGAAUGCGUAGAGAUCGAUCGGAACGCCAAGGGUGAAGACNCCGGCUGGGGCUCUCUUGACGCUGAGGCACGAAAGCGUGGGGAUCAAACAGGAUUAGAUACCCUAGUAGUCC